AUGAAUGUUCACUGCUGAGGGAUGUAUUAGAGGAAAAGCUGACGAGGAAAGAUCAUUCUUAACUUGUGGGUGAAGGCGCUUACGUAAAGUCUAAGAAAACCAUCGGGAAGAUUAGAGUUCAAGUUCGUAAUGUGAAAAUGGGGACGAAGCAACCCACUGGUUUCACGUUUACAUCUUUAAAGUCUUCAUCCACGGUGAAGCUGGAAACAUUUCAGCAAAGGUUAUCAAAUGUGAAAUUGGUUGUUUCAUCCAACAAAAAGAAACAAAAAAAAGAAAAAAAAGAAAAAAAGAAAAAA